GGACAAUACACCAGGUCAGACUAAAGUAGCCAUAAGUAGGUACCUCUGCUUCCUGUUUUUGAAUAUGCUGUUCUGAAAAGAGACAGGGUAAUUGAGAGAUGGUGAUUACGAUCAUGUCACACGUGUGCAGUGCACAUUUAAAGCGAAGUCGCUUUAAAUAAAUUGGGGAGAACUUUCGAUGGGUCAUGCCAGGAAGCUAAUGCUGAAGAUAGACGCUAUACCAUCAAUGAUAGUGGAUCUUGCAAGCUCUGACCAUAAUAUGACUGUCUAUGUAGACAGGCUCCUGGAUCUCCUCUUUAAUGACGCCAACUUUGACCCAGCGGCGUAUGUACAGAAGCUGUGCGAGCUCUCCAACCCAGGACUCCUGUCUGCCCAGUGUGAGUGGCCUGACAAGGAGGAGGCAAUAGCUGGAUUUGUCUCCAGGUUCAAUCUUGGGGAUGACAGAAGCCAAGUGGGUGACUGCAGCCUGCUUGAUUGAAGCGGGGUACAUGGGUCCCUCUCCUCUCCCACUUCCCUCCCCAUAUUUGGUAGUUGGUUGCAUUUCCUAAAGUUUUUUCAAGCAUUCAGAAGGGAGAUGAGUGUUACAAAUUGCACAAAUGAUUGUGUCCUACACACUGUUGGGUGGCCGGGUGACUAUAUUGGACUUAUGGCUAAAAUGUCAAAUGAUGUCUCAUCAUUAUUUCUCACCUUUAUUUCUCAUGUGUAUUCAUGUUCAUGUUAAACUGUAAACUUAAUCAAUAUUUCUGCUAUACUGGCCAAUUGUAAAUUAACAAAAAAAUAUCUGAUCAAUACAUUCUGUACAUAUUGUCAUUUAUAAUGCUAAUGCAGAGGCACCAAUAAAUUGUCCAGUACACUUAUUUUCUACUGUCUUCAUGUACAUUCCUUUAUGUCUAAGCUUCUAAGGUGACUCAGGCUUGACUAAUUCUUGUGAAGAAGUGUAUCAGUGAACUGUAUUCUGUAAUAAGUUACAAAACAAUACAAAUGCAAUUGUGUAUUGCUGCUGUUUGUCUGAUAUCCAACAGCCCAUGAUCAGCUCUGUUGACCAUGAGAGCAUUUUGCUAAGAAAAUGGUUUAAGGCAUACUAUUUAGGCUCUCAAUGACAUGUGAUCCAUUGUUUACCUUGUCAUCAAUGACAUGUGGCCCAUUGUUUACCUUGUUACCUGGCAACAACCACAAGGUUCAAAGAGCUGUCAGUCAAGGCGAGCUCAUGCAUAUACAGUAAGCUCCCCGCCCACUCAGCCAGCUCUUUCAUGCUUCCUGAUAGUUAGAGAUGAGAGAAGAGGUACAAUUUCUUCAGUUCUCCUUUUUCAUCAAAUAGGGCUCCCGAGUUGCGCAGCGGUCUAAGGUACUGCAUCUCAGUGCAAGAGGUGUCACUGCAGUCCCUGGUUUGAAUCCAGGCUGAAUCUUACUUGGGAAAUAGGAUGACUAUUUGGGACCUUUUAAGAAAGCUGAAACUCAUUUACUGCAUUUCUAUACAAUCUGAAAACUCUCAAAUGCUAUUUGGAGAAUAGCAAAAACAAGCCAAAAUGACCCCAGCCAUUAUCACAUUGGUUGCUGUAGUUUCAUUCACCUCAGUCAGUCUACAAACACAUAGCCUAUUAGCUAUACAUUUAGCUGCUACACAUUAACUCACAUGAACUCAGCACCAGACUAAAAACUAUAAUUGAAUACUUACAGAGGGAGCAGAAAAAGUAUUUUAUGAACAAAAGGUAAAUAAAUAAGUUUGUUUUACAUA
ensembl:lncRNA